AGAACGAACGCUGGCGGCAUGCUUAACACAUGCAAGUCGAACGCUCUCGGGGCUUCGGUUCCGGGGGAGUGGCGCACGGGUGAGUAGCGCGUGGGAACCUGCCCUGUUGUGGGGGAUAACCGAGGGAAACUUCGGCUAAUACCGCAUACGCCCCGGAGCAAUCCGGGGGAAAGAUUUAUCGCAGCAGGAGGGGCCCGCGUCGGAUUAGGUAGUUGGUGGGGUAACGGCCCACCAAGCCUGUGAUCUGUAU
rnacentral:rRNA from 1 species